ensembl:snRNA U6 U6 spliceosomal RNA
GCGUUCACUUCGUCAGUACUUAAACUAAAAUUAGAACAAUACAGACAAGAGUAGCAUGGCCCCUCUGCAAGGAUAACAUGCGAAUUUGUGAAGGGCUCCAUAUUUUC